rnacentral:rRNA from 1 species
CGGAGGGAUCAUUACUGAGUUUACGCUCUACAACCCUUUGUGAACAUACCUAUAACUGUUGCUUCGGCGGGUAGGGUCUCCGCGACCCUCCCGGCCUCCCGCCUCCGGGCGGGUCGGCGCCCGCCGGAGGAUAACCAAACUCUGAUUUAACGACGUUUCUUCUGAGUGGUACAAGCAAAUAAUCAAAACUUUUAACAACGGAUCUCUUGGUUCUGGCAUCGAUGAAGAACGCAGCGAAAUGCGAUAAGUAAUGUGAAUUGCAGAAUUCAGUGAAUCAUCSAAUCUUUGAACGCACAUUGCGCCCGCCAGCAUUCUGGCGGGCAUGCCUGUUCGAGCGUCAUUUCAACCCUCAAGCUCUGCUUGGUGUUGGGGCCCUACAGCUGAUGUAGGCCCUCAAAGGUAGUGGCGGACCCUCUCGGAGCCUCCUUUGCGUAGUAACUUUACGUCUCGCACUGGGAUCCGGAGGGACUCUUGCCGUAAAACCCCCAAUUUUCCAAAGGUUGACCUC